rnacentral:rRNA from 1 species
GACCCGUCUUGAAACACGGACCAAGGAGUGUAACACAUAUGCGAGUUUGCGGGUGGAAAAACCCAUAAGCGCAACGAAAGUGAGUAUAAGGUGUGAUACCUUCUAAAUUGGGGGUUGCAACAUCGACCGACCUUGAUCUUCUGUGAAGGGAUUGAGUAAGAGCAUAUUUGGUAGGACCCGAAAGAUGGUGAACUACACUUGAGUAGGGUGAAGCCAGGGGAAACUCUGGUGGAGGCUCGAAGCGUUACUGACGUGCAAAUCGUUCGUCAAACUUGAGUGUAGGGGCGAAAGACUAAUCGAACCAUCUAGUAGCUGGUUCCUUAUCUGCAGA